rnacentral:rRNA from 1 species
GAUGAACGCUGACAGAAUGCUUAACACAUGCAAGUCUUUGGCGAAGCUGUGCUUGCACAGCCUAGCCAAGGCGGACGGGUGAGUAACGCGUAAGGAACUUGCCCUGCAGUCAGGGAUAACAGACGGAAACGACUGAUAAGACCUGGUAAAGUCAGGCGGACUCAUGUCCAGCCUGAUGAAAAGAGAUGCUGCAGGGGAGCCUUGCGUCCUAUUAGCUUGUUGGUGGGGUAACGGCCCACCACGGCGAUGAUAGGUAGCCGGCCUGAGAGGGUGGACGGCCACAAGGGGACUGAGAUACGGCCCUUACUCCUACGGGAGGCAGCAGGGGGGAAUAUUGGACAAUGGGGGCAACCCUGAUCCAGCAAUUCUGUGUGCACGAUGAAGGUUUUCGGAUUGUAAAGUGCUUUCAGCAGGGAAGAAAAAAAUGACGGUACCUGCAGAAGAAGCGACGGCUAAAUACGUG